rnacentral:lncRNA from 1 species
CCACAUCUGCAACACAGCUGUGCCCUGCCCUGUGGAUGGGGAGUGGGACUCGUGGGGGGAGUGGAGCCCCUGUAUCCGACGGAACAUGAAGUCCAUCAGCUGUCAAGAAAUCCCGGGCCAGCAGUCACGCGGGAGGACCUGCAGGGGCCGCAAGUUUGACGGACAUCGAUGUGCCGGGCAACAGCAGGAUAUCCGGCACUGCUACAGCAUCCAGCACUGCCCCUUGAAAGGAUCAUGGUCAGAGUGGAGUACCUGGGGGCUGUGCAUGCCCCCCUGUGGACCUAAUCCUACCCGUGCCCGCCAGCGCCUCUGCACACCCUUGCUCCCCAAGUACCCGUGAGUGAGAGGGCAAAGUCAGGGCGAGAAGAACGUGACCUUCUGGGGGAGACCGCUGCCACGGUGUGAGGAGCUACAAGGGCAGAAGCUGGUGGUGGAGGAGAAACGACCAUGUCUACACGUGCCUGCUUGCAAAGACCCUGAGGAAGAGGAACUCUAACACUUCUCUCCUCCACUCUGAGCCCCCUGACCUUCCAAACCUCAAUAAACUAGCCUCUUCG